rnacentral:lncRNA from 1 species
GAGGGCCUUGUCUGCAUCUUCUAGUUCCUCUGCCAGUCUACCCUUCGAUGACAGGGACUCAAACCAUCCCUCAGAGGGUAAGUAGAUGUUGCAUUGUGCGGCCACUUCCUGUGUCCGUGGCAGCCUUCCCCCUCUCGUUUUCCCACAUUGAUGAUAAUAUGCGUGGGACUGUGUGAAUACACCAGAAGUGCUGUACUCGUUCAGCACAGUGACACCCUCCCUCCAGCUCCAGGUGUUUUUUUUGGGGGGUCCUAGAUGUUGUAGACAUCAAAAUAGUAGUACAUCCUGUUUUUUGUUUGUUUGUUUGUUUGUAUGAGAUGGAGUCUCGCCCUGUCGCCCAGGCUGGAGUGCAGUGGUGUGAUCUUGGCUCACUGCAACCUCCGCCUUCCGGGUUCAAGCACAUCCUGUUUUUAAUCCAUCAUCCAUCGUGUCUAAACCUCUCUUAAACACAUUUCUGUGUUCAGCAUGUACAACCCCUGGUGGGGGCUGGGAGGUGGCAGAUGGGUCCAUAUUACUCUCCCGUUUAUGGAUGAAUGAUGGAUGACUUCCUGGGCCAUGAUUAUUUUUCUCUACAAAGAGCAGUGAUCUCUCUACCCGCUAACUGAUGAAGGCAGUGACUUUGAAGAUAGCUUCAAUCGCAAUGUGAAGAAGAAAGCAGCAAAACGACCACCGAAAACAACACCGGUGGCAAACAACGAAAGAAAGGGUCCCGAGUGGUACAUCGUCAUAGCCGGAAACAGUCAGAGCCACCAGCCAAUGAUCUUUUCAAUGCUGUGAAAGCUGCCAAAAGUGACAUGCAGGUAAAGCCGUGUCUCACCUCUGUUGAUACCAUCUCACUUUUUGUAAGGUGGUAAGGACAAGUGUCUACAAACUUGAUUUGAUGUGAACAUUUCAGUGAAUGUAACAUAUCAAGAAAGAUAAGAUUAUGGGGUGAAUCCUUGGAGUAAUAGAAGGGUAACCUUGAAUGAGAGAGCAUUUUUUUUUUUUUUGAGACAGAGUGGUGCAACUGACCUCCCAGGCUCCG